AGGUUGGGGGAGGGGAUGGUGAGUUGGUGGAGAAGCGGCUCUCCGGCAGAAGCACUGAGUGAUACUCGAACAAAAUGCUGAUUUACUGCAUUCUUUACACACUAAGAGUUGUGGGGAAUAUGGGGGGAGACAUGUACCGCAUCUAAACGUGUGUGACGGUCCGCGCUGACAGAAACAUAGAAUCACUUUACCAUUCGUGCCAAUUGGCCUGCUUUAUGGGGAGAAGGCUGUAAAUCAGUUAUUCCUAUCAACGCAAUUCCAUGCUGCUGUACUUCAAUGAAAGAAUGAAAAACAAAGGCGUGAUUUAUAGAUCUCAACGUCGCUCAGAAUUGGCUAAAGGGAUUCACACAAUUGGCAGAGUUUCUGAGUUACAGUGCGCCUCCAAAAGGUUUAAAAUUUGGCUUAGGAGUCCCUUUUCAAAGGAUAAUGUCGUUAUUUCAUAGCCUGCUCUGUUCUGAAGAGCUUUAUAGUUCAUUCUUGAUGGGAGGAUUAAUAAACGGAAUUAGAGGUCCUGGAGAUGUCCGUGCGUUGGUAAACUGAACUUAAAUUCUGACUCUAGUUUCCAACCUUUUCAACCACCAGUGGAAGAUUUCGACCUAAUUUAAAGGAAGGCUCCGGACUAAGGAACAUAGCUGGGAUGGACGUCUCAAACCGAAAUGGAAAAAUAUAAGUUUUCAUAUAGACCUCCAAUUUUAUUGCUUGUAAAAAAUAUGCAGACCAGCAAGCGAGACUCAUGCAAAGCUCAGUUCUUUUUUAUAGGAGGGUAUAUGAUGUAAAAUCUCAGUUUAAGAAAGCAGUAUAUUUUUACAUUUGUUGAUCAGUUGUACUCUGCGGAACUCUGCUGCCCUUUCGUGUUUGCCCUUCAAGAACUUACAGACCGAAGCACGUGAUCUGUGCUGCUUCCGGGAAUGGAAAAAACAAAAUCCACUGCAAAAGAAUGAGUUUCAUAUCACCUUCGACUUCCAGAUUCCUUCAAAUGGCUUGUGCAAAUAAAAGUUUAGCCGAUCGACACCUUCCCGAAGGUCCCACAGUACAUCCUUAAAGCAACAACAUUGGAGACACUGGCAGAUUUUCUGUGCCGAUUUGCCCUUCAAAUUGGAGCUACCGCAAGUUACUUCAUUUAGUGGGACGCAUACGCAAAAGAAAAAAUCAGCUGAAGGAUUAAGCUGCUACUCUAGAGACUGCACAGUUCUUAGUAGAAAUUCUAAACUCAAGGUUGUACAUAUUUGUGUCUUUUUCUAGUAAACUUGGAACCUUUUUAGUUUGAGGCGAAACUAAUUGCAAGUUGCAAGAUAAAAUCUGAAUGCAUCCCUCUGAGUUUAGUCACUAGGUUAUAUAAGCAUGAAGCACCAAGAACUUAAGUUAACACAUGGGCACGCAUCUCAGGUGGCACAUUUAUAGUGCAACAGUGUUUUAACAUACAAGAAUCAGUGCUGGAAAGGUACAAAUGAUUAAAUUGCAGUAAAAGAUAAAAGCAUAGUUUUAAUUCCACUACAAAGUUUAUGAUGGUCAAUUUCUUAUGCACUCUAGUGUUGCAUGAAGAUUCCAGGAUGAACUCCCGUUCAUCCACCCCCAUUUUGUGACACCAUUAUUGGCACACUGUUGGCGCAGCAUGGCGUGGUGGAGGUGGUAGAUGAGGUGGUGAAACCAGAGCAUAUCUUUGAUUGAUGUUGUACGUUUCCAGGCAACAGGGGAUGCCAGUGUUUGAUGUUACUGUGAUUGCAUUCUUGCUUCACGUCUGUCCAGUUAGUCCGAUGCCUGCAGUGACGUGCCAGAAUGAAGCUCAAUAGAUUGUCGGUCCUAAUAGUUUUAAAGGAGUUUAAAAUAGGUGAAUCUGGGUGUGAGAACAAGUAUGUUUGUACAAAUCAGGUUUAUCUGUACAUCAUUUUGUUGGAACAGCCUUGAAUAUUCCGUAUAAGAGACGCCAUUUAAUAUUAGUGUUAUCCUUAACCAUCAUAUCGAAUUAUAUAAUUGAUAUGCACAAUUUUCCACAUCGUCUUGUGAGUGAUAUAUCAGAGAUGCAGGACAAUUGGAAAAAUAAUUGAUUGUGACACAGAUGAAAAAUAUAGCAAACACCUACAAGGGCACUGGAAGGUGAAUGAAGUGUAAAACCUAUGUACAUACUACUGUUUUGCUCUACAUUUUGCUACUAGUUUAUGGUAUUUGCAGUAUCUCUUUUAAUGGGGCUUCCUAUUACGUUACAGGGUUGCUAUUUUAUUACUUUUAAAUUAUGUGGAUUAGGAACUUAACACUCCAUUAAUUUUAAUAGAUAAAAGAUCAUCUGAGUCAUCAAUCAAGCACACUGGCUGCUGCAUCCGAUUCCUGAUGUGCUCCAGUUAUGUGAAGCUUUGUCUCAGAAAUGCUAAAUUGUAAAGUCAACCUCUCCAUGACGCUGUGAAAAGAAUUACUUAAAGCACGAGUCAAGAGAGUGGGUGGUUAGUUAUCUAACAAAACAAACCCUAAAAGGUGGACAUUUUUUUUCUGUGACCCCUAAACACUGGAAGCAGCUUAGAGAUAAGCCCAAGGAAGCAAUGGGACAGAAAAGCAGUUACGGGAGAACAAUCACAGCCAUUGAGGCUGCAGGUGGCUAGAUUAUAUCCAUGCAUUGGAGAAGACAGAAGAAGACAGUUAUCUAAUUAUCACUGCUUGAAAGAUGUGGGAAGAAUACUGCUGCAGUGCCCUCCCAGGAGAAAACAACAGAGAGUUCACCUAGCCUCAACUUCAUAGUCAGGCAACUACCGGCAAGGUGGUGAUUAACCGGAGGAAGCAGCACCUAACAGUGGGACACAGCUUGCAUACGCAGGUAGUAGAAGCUCAGAAAAAGCUCACCAUUGAAGAUUGCCAUCAAUACCAGCCAGGGAACCUAGUACUGGUUAAGACCUUCAGGAGAAAGAACUGUUUGGAACCUCGAUGGGAUGGAUCUUUCCAAGUCCUGAUCACCACCCUCAUGGCUGUGAAGGUUGAAGGAUGAUCCUUGUGGAUCCAUGCAUCGCCGUCAAGCGGACACUGACCAUGGAUGGAAGUGCUUGUGCAGGAACUUUAACUGAGCCGUCAGAAUGCUGACUCUGAUUUGGAUCCUGUCCUGCGCGGUCCUUGCGGGGGCAUGGACUACCAAUUCUGCAGUUCAAUGAAUGCAGGCCGUCGCCUCGCAAGUCAAUCAAACUAAAUUUUGGAUUUGUACUCAUUUUCCUGUUAACCCCUCCUCCUCAGAGAUGCAUUUUCUGGCUUUCCCCUCAGAUUCUACAUGGUCCCUAGGUAAUACAGGGGUCCUCAUUCAUCGAACACCCAUUUGGAGAUGGGAGCCCACCUUUGUGGUUGUUAAGGGCCUGGCCUGGCUAUGUGUUAGGAGAAAUUAUACCAAGGGUAGUACUCGGGUGGGUGAAUUGCCAUUGGGUUCCUGUGCCUACCUUGCUGAAUAUGACCACCAGGAGGGUCGAUUUCGGUUCCACAACCAGCCUGGUCCUAUGACCGCCUUUUGGGGUGCAAGGCCAAUGAGAUGGUAUGUCUUUUGCAGGUCCCGAAAUCUGAUGCUAAUCUCACAUACUUUAACAUGAAUGGGUGUGAUUGCCAAGAUUAUACAAUCUCACCUCAAAUAAUUGCACCUCCACUUGGGCCUCUAAUGGCUGCUACAUUGAAGAAUCUGAGCCUUGCAAUUACAAAAAUCAGUCUGGUUGCCCCGACUUGUUGGCCCAGCGAGCACUGCGAUUCAGUCGGACCUGCCAUGUCCGCUGGUAUGCCCAGAUGAAUUCUUCUUUCGUUUGGAAGUGGCUUAAAUUUUGCCAAAAUUCCACUUAUUGGUACCCUACCCUUGUCUGCAAUGGCUCAUUCUGGCUUUGUAUAAAACCCUAAACAAAAACAGAAUUACCUGGAAAAACUCAGCAGGUCUGGCAGCAUCGGCGGAGAAGAAAAGAGUUGACGUUUCGAGUCCUCAUGACCCUUCGAUGUAUAAAACCCUCCCUGUCAAUUGGGCAGGCACCUGCACCAUUGGCUAUAUUGUCCCUGAGGCCUUUGGGGUCAAACGCCUUACCAUCCACUCUCUCCACAACGAUCUAGGGCCUGGGAGGCGUCAUAAACAAUCAACCUGGAACCCGCAUGUCACCUGCAACACUGGAUUCCACAAAUUUGUCCGCCUCCUCAUCCCAGGUCUAGGGGUCCCGGAGCUGGAAAAGGCCAUUAUUUAUAUUUCCGCUACAAUGGAACUUACUGAGAAUAAAACUGUUGACGCCAUUCAGAGUCUGCAGUUGGAAGCUAAGUCCCUUUCCAAGGUUGUCCUCCAGAACCGUAUGGCCCUGGAUUUCCUGCUAGCAGCGCAGAGGGGAGUCUGUGCAGCUAUUAAUGAAACAUGUUGUUUCUACGUUACCAAGGACCAGAGAAUUGAGACUGAUGUACAUUUCAUUCAGGACCAAGUGCGCCUCCUCCAUGCAGUUGCCCAGGAAAAAUCCUUUGGCUGAAGGGUGUGGCUCCCUAAUUUCGGUGGGUGGUUUGGGGGUCUUUUCAAAACCCUCCUCAAAUACCUUGUCAUAGGUGCCCUGCUCAUUGUCCUGUAUGUAGUUAUUCAGCUUGUCCUCUGUUGCACCGCUCUGUCUGCUGACUACAGAAUCUCCAGAGUCCUGGUGGCAAGCCAGCUAUCUAUUCCCUCCCUCUCCUCAGGAAUCAGGACCCCAGUGAGGAUGAAGCCCGGCGACUAGGAUACAAAGAACUUGGCUAAGGGUGGUGGGUUGUCCUUUUAGGACAAAAGGGGAGAAGUGUGGUGGCCUAGGCAACUGUAGGGAGCCCAUUUGGUGCUGGAAGGGUUAAUGAGAAGUUGAAUUGUAUGCCUAGGCCUAAGAGAAAAAUACUCCAAUCUUGAGAAACGAUACCAUCUUGUCUGACCACAGUUUUAGGAUGAGCCUGAGACAUUCCAUUUUGUUCUUUCUCAGGCCGAAUGUAAUCAGGGUUGUGAUAAGCAACUGCAUUACCAAACAUCUGUUGUGCUGGGAAUGAAAAUUUACUGAAAUAUGGAUUGGUCAGUUAAUUUAUGCAAAUAAGCGGAUAGGUUUGUGCAAAAUUUGCUGAUUGGCUGUAAACAAGUCUGCGUGUAUUCUGCUACGAGACAGUGCAGUAGCUCUCAUAUUGUCUCCCUUGUGCACAAAUAAUAAACGGGGUUUCUAAGUACUAAA